rnacentral:rRNA from 1 species
AUUGAACGCUGGCGGCAUGCCUUACACAUGCAAGUCGAACGGCAGCGCGGACUUCGGUCUGGCGGCGAGUGGCGAACGGGUGAGUAAAGCAUCGGAACGUACCCGGAAGUGGGGGAUAACGUAGCGAAAGUUACGCUAAUACCGCAUAUUCUGUGAGCAGGAAAGAGGGGGAUCGCAAGACCUCUUGCUUUCGGAGCGGCCGAUGUCAGAUUAGCUAGUUGGUGAGGUAAAGGCUCACCAAGGCGACGAUCUGUAGCGGGUCUGAGAGGAUGAUCCGCCAGACUGGAACUGGGACACGGUCCAGACUCCUACGGGAGGCAGCAGUGGGGAAUUUUGGACAAUGGGGGCAACCCUGAUCCAGCCAUGCCGCGUGAGUGAAGAAGGCCUUCGGGUUGUAAAGCUCUUUCGGCCGGGAAGAAAUCGUAUGGGUUAAUACCCUGUGCGGAUGACGGUACCGGCAUAAGAAGCACCGGCUAACUACGUGCCAGCCGCCGCGGUAAAAC